rnacentral:rRNA from 1 species
UACGGAGGGUGCAAGCGUUAAUCGGAAUUACUGGGCGUAAAGCGCACGUAGGUGGUUUGCUAAGUCAGCUGUGAAAUCCCCGGGCUCAACCUGGGCACUGCAGUUGAAACUGGCAAGCUAGAGUAGGGUAGAGGGGUGUGGAAUUCCAGGUGUAGCGGUGAAAUGCGUAGAUAUCAGGUGGAACACCGGUGGCGAAGGCGGGUAACUGGCCAAACACUGACUCUCAAACCCGAAAGCGUGGGGAUCAAACAGG